UAUAAAGAGGUUCCUAGCUGAUACCCUCUAUAAAAAACUAGACACAU
rnacentral:ncRNA from 2 species